UGAAACUGUAUCAGAAGCUGUCCUGCCAUGGGUGUGUGAGCAAGACAAAAGGUGAGAUUCUCAUUUCAGGGGUAGUGUUGCCUUAUACUGGUGUGUGGCUUAGUGGUGUAAAGCUUAAAGCACAAAUGCAGGGUUGGAGGUUAAACAAAUUUGGAAACGAGCAACCUGUGAGGUAUGCAGGAGCUGUGGUGUGAGAAGUCCUGAGGAGAAAGAACAAAGCUUUGGUAGUGAACGGUCCAUUGUGGGCAAUACUCUUAUGAUGACAAAAGCAUGUAAAUGUGAAUGAUGAGUUGUAAAACCUCAUUGCCAUUCUGAAGGAGAGAAGUAAUUGUAGCUUCACCUUUGAAGUGCUUAAGAUGACUUGUGUGGGGAAAAUAGCAGGCAUGUAAACAAGCUUUCUUACAAGUGAGAGAUGAGCAUAAAAGCUGAUUUAUGCCAAUCAUCAUAUUGGAAGGUUAUUCUUAAGAAGGGUGUGUUUUGGCUGCCAGAAACAGAAGAACCCUGCCCUCAGCUCUGGGAAUUUUGUGGUGCUUCAUUUAUGAAGCUGUGGAAGGUGGGAGAAAGGCACAAAACAACACUGCUGAAGUUAGAAAUGAAAGACCUGCCCGAGCCAGAGGUGGAGGACUGA
rnacentral:lncRNA from 14 species